GAUGAACGCUGGCGGCGUGCCUAAUACAUGCAAGUCGAGCGAACAGACGAGGAGCUUGCUCCUCUGACGUUAGCGGCGGACGGGUGAGUAACACGUGGAUAACCUACCUAUAAGACUGGGAUAACUUCGGGAAACCGGAGCUAAUACCGGAUAAUAUAUUGAACCGCAUGGUUCAAUAGUGAAAGACGGUUUUGCUGUCACUUAUAGAUGGAUCCGCGCCGCAUUAGCUAGUUGGUAAGGUAACGGCUUACCAAGGCAACGAUGCGUAGCCGACCUGAGAGGGUGAUCGGCCACCCUGGAACUGAGACACGGUCCAGACUACUACGGGAGGCAGCAGUAGGGAAUCGUCCGCAAUGGGCGAAAGCCUGACGGAGCAACGCCGCGUGAGUGAUGAAGGUCUUCGGAUCGUAAAACUCUGUUAUUAGGGAAGAACAAAUGUGUAAGUAACUAUGCACGUCUUGACGGUACCUAAUCAGAAAGCCACGGCUAACUACGUG
rnacentral:rRNA from 1 species